GAUUAUGGCUCAGGAUGAACGCUAGCGACAGGCUUAACACAUGCAAGUCGAGGGGCAGCAUAAAAGUAGCAAUACUUGGUGGCGACCGGCGCACGGGUGAGUAACGCGUAUGCAACCUACCUAUCAGAGGGGAAUAACCCGGCGAAAGUCGGACUAAUACCGCAUAAAACAGGGGCACCGCAUGGUGAUAUUUGUUAAAGAAAUUCGCUGAUAGAUGGGCAUGCGUUCCAUUAGGUAGUUGGUGAGGUAACGGCUCACCAAGCCGACGAUGGAUAGGGGAACUGAGAGGUUGGUCCCCCACACUGGUACUGAGACACGGACCAGACUCCUACGGGAGGCAGCAGUGAGGAAUAUUGGUCAAUGGGCGGGAGCCUGAACCAGCCAAGUCGCGUGAAGGAAGAAGGAUCUAUGGUUCGUAAACUUCUUUUGCAGGGGAAUAAAGUGCAGGACGUGUCCUGUUUUGUAUGUACCCUGAGAAUAAGGAUCGGCUAACUCCGUGCCAGCCGCCGC
rnacentral:rRNA from 1 species